rnacentral:tRNA from 1 species
CAGAGAGUAGUUUAAUAAGAAUAUUAGCUUUGGGAGCUGGUGAUGGAGGUUUGAGCCCUCUCUCUCUGA